GCCUGGCUGGCUCAGUCAGAAGAGCAUGAGACUCUUGACCUCGGGGUCGUGAGUUCAAGCCCCACGUCGGGUA
rnacentral:tRNA from 1 species